ACUGCCGACCAUGGCUUCAUCUCCCGUUGUAUCGCCUGCAAUUCGCGUUAUUUGCCUUCACAAUUUCGGGUGUUUAUUGUUGCUCUGGCUGAAGUCGUUGUUUGUCGUUUUUAUGGGGCCGGAAUGCUCUCGGAUGGUGAUUAGUCAAUGUCCCUGGCUCUGGUAUGGUUCUGUAUCUCUCCAGACCCUGACCCUGGUUCUGGUAUCCUCUAGCCCUGGCCUGGUUCUCUUUCUCCUUAUUUAUUUGUCCUGUUGCAGUAAUCAGCCUGGCACGCAGGCAGGCAGGCAGGCAGGCAAUCAUCCACGUUCUUAUUUGCCUUGGCACAAAUCCCGCCCCAGCCAUUUGACUGCUCUAAGGGGCAAUAUUUGUUUAAUUUGCAAAAACCCCUUCGUUUUCCAGUUAAUAAAAAUGACAAUGAAGCUAU